rnacentral:rRNA from 1 species
UACGGGGGGUGCUAGCGUUGUUCGGAAUUAUUGGGCGUAUAGGGUAUGUAGGCGGUUUUACAAGUUGAAUGUGAAAUGCCGGGGCUUAACCUCGGAAUUGCAUUCAAAACUGUUUUACUAGAGUAUGAUAUGGGGUGGCGGAAUUCCUAGUGUAGGGGUGAAAUCCGUAGAUAUUAGGAGGAACACCAGUGGUGAAAACGGCUACCUAGAUCAUAACUGACGCUGAGAUACGAAAGCGUGGGGAGCAAACAGGAUUAGAUACCCUGGUAGUCCACGCUGUAAACUAUGAGCGCUAAGUGUCUGAAUUUAUUUUGGGUGCUAAAGCUAACGCGUUAAGCGCUCCGCCUGGGGAAUACGGUCGCAAGACUAAA